GGCGGAGUAGCUUAGCUGGCUAGAGCGUCCGGUUCAUACCCGGGAGGUCGAGGGUUCGAAUCCCCCCUCCGCUACCA
rnacentral:tRNA from 1 species